GGAAGUAAAAGUCGUAACAAGGUCUCCGUUGGUGAACCAGCGGAGGGAUCAUUACCGAGUUUACAACUCCCAAACCCAAUGUGAACCAUACCAAACUGUUGCCUCGGCGGGGUCACGCCCCGGGUGCGUCGCAGCCCCGGAACCAGGCGCCCGCCGGAGGGACCAACCAAACUCUUUCUGUAGUCCCCUCGCGGACGUUAUUUCUUACAGCUCUGAGCAAAAAUUCAAAAUGAAUCAAAACUUUCAACAACGGAUCUCUUGGUUCUGGCAUCGAUGAAGAACGCAGCGAAAUGCGAUAAGUAAUGUGAAUUGCAGAAUUCAGUGAAUCAUCGAAUCUUUGAACGCACAUUGCGCCCGCCAGUAUUCUGGCGGGCAUGCCUGUCCGAGCGUCAUUUCAACCCUCGAACCCCUCCGGGGGUCCGGCGUUGGGGAUCGGGAACCCCUAAGACGGGAUCCCGGCCCCGAAAUACAGUGGCGGUCUCGCCGCAGCCUCUCAUGCGCAGUAGUUUGCACAACUCGCACCGGGAGCGCGGCGCGUCCACGUCCGUAAAACACCCAACUUCUGAAAUGUUGACCUCGGAUCAGGUAGGAAUACCCGCUGAACUUAAGCAUAUCAAUAAGCGGAGGAA
rnacentral:rRNA from 1 species